rnacentral:lncRNA from 1 species
AGCCGCGUGCGUGCGCAUGUGCACUACAGCUCACUGGCUGUGGGAACUCAGGCACAGGCUGUAGGCGUCUCCACCCUACCGCGAGUUUCGAAGUAGCCCGUGGGCGGUUGUGUGGUUUUCUGGGUCCAGGGUCAGUUAGCAGAACGCAGGGAAAGGCUAAUGGCGGUGGAAAAGCUGCCAUUGUGCAACAUAGGGCCUGUAUCCACGUGGGGACUCAAGACCUUGAAGGCCUCGUUCUGCCGAAAAUUUCUCCAGUUACUCUACCCUUUUGUUGUCCUUGUUUGGCUGCUCUUCUGAGCCCACUUAAUGGCAGAAGCCUCAGUCCUGGACCUUACUCUCUUCCUACAUCCCCCUGGCCCUUUCAGCCAGUGUUUCUGGAAAUUAGCAGAGACUAGGAUUCUGGGCCCGUGCAGGGACCCCUGUCCCUGCCAUGGUUUCAGAAAGAGUGGCAACAGGUGCCCCAAAGGGAAGCCUAUGAGGAGGAGGGAAAGGACACUGUACAGAUGAAGAGGAAAAAAGGCGUUCCUCAGCGUCACUCCUCGCCUACCUACAGUACCCUUCAUCUGUGAAUCUAUUUGUGAAGUAGAAGAAGAAAAUUGGUGAUCCAUGAGAUACUUGAGAAGUAGGGGAGACUGAUGGAUCCAUGCUGUGAAUUAGCUGGAGAGGAUGGGCUCUAGUGCUCAAAAGGAGAGGCUGGCCUUUACUAAGAACAUGGAUGUUUCAUCUACAGUAAUAGGAAAGUAAGUAUAACAUUUUUGCCAAGGUGCAGAUAAGUGGGUAGAUGUCUUGGAGGCCUGUGAAAUCUCACUGCGUCUUUUUUCUCAAUGAAUCAGAAAGCAAGAACAACUGCUGAAAGUGAGUUUGAGGAGGUUUAAGGAAAAAGGAAAUACCAAAUGGUCGAGGAGAAUGAGAAUAGGAAUGGAACAAGAAAAUAGGUUAUAAUUACUGUUCAAUAUUAAAGGCCCACUUGAGGUGGACUUCUAUGAAAUGAAAGUGAGAACAGACAGCAUGGCUUUGACUUUUCCUUCAGUCACAUUCAGUGUCUCAGGUAAGGAUAGAUUUAUUUUUAAAUAAGGCUGUGGUUUAGCCAGUAAGUAAGAAAAGGAAAAGGGGGCUAAAAUAUUGAAGGUGAUGAUUUAAGAUUUAAAGAAUCAACUACAGAAUUUAAUCAAGUAGUAGGGAAUUGAUGGUGUGGUGGUAUAGGGGUAAAGGUCAGUGAAAAAAUGGUGAGAUUUGUGAAAGGCAGUGGAGGAGUUGCUUGGAAGGAUUUUUAGUGUUUCAUGACUAGAGAAAGUGAGCUGGACGUGUGGGAAGUGGUGUUCAAAUGAGAGUAUGGAGGGAGUGCCAUUAUCGUUAAUGAAAAAUUGCAGCAUGUGACUGAAGGUGAGAGACUAAGGUAAACUGCAAAGGAAGGUCACUGGAAAAGCUUGAUGCUAUAGGGAAGUACACUUCAACUUGCAAGAGUUUAAACCAUUAGGUCCAAUCUUGAAUGAGAAAAGGUUAUAUUUUUAAGAAAUCUGGUAGGUUUCCACCCUGAUGCACAAGAGAUAAUAAGAUGCAUAUUGAUGUGGAUAUCAGGAAGUCCAGAUUCUAAUCACUCUCUGUGAAAAACUGAAUGUGUCACCUUGAUGAGCCAUUUAUCCCUUCAGGCCUUGAUUCUUCAUCAUUUGGCAGUGUCAGUGCCCUCCUGCUGAAGACUAGCAGGAAUACACCUGUUGUUGAACAAGUUGGGUUUAUUAUUCAUUGUAGUCUGAAAGAAUGCUUUGUGGACCUCUGAGGCAGCUCAGUAAGAGAGUGCUAGGAAAGACAUAGGAGUCUUUAUGCCCCUUAGCAUGUUAAAGUGUACCCAGGGAUUUUAAUUUAUAGAGGUGAAUGAGUGCUGACAGGGAGAGGCUAAUGCCACUGAAAGAUUUUUAUUUCUUUCAUUUCCCAAGAGGAGGGGGCAAGCCAUGCCAUGCAGUGCCUUAUGUGAAAGCACUGGUGUUGGUCAGGAGGCAGGAAGGAGUAAGAGAAAAGCCUAUGCCAGAGCCUUAUUACUAUAGAAGUAGAAAGUUGUUAGGUGAGAAUGUCCCCUAUUGGGCAGGAAGUGAUACACAGAUGUUUGAGUUCGUGGUUGGAAGGUUUGUAAUAUGAUUUCCAUGCACCUGUGAAAGCUAGACUGCAGGGGAGAUGUAAACAACUUUGGUUGUUAGUUUGGCCCCAUGAUUAAUAGAUGCCAAAUAGACAAAUUUAAAUUAAAUUAUUUAGAACAGAAUGUAAUAAACAGUUGUUGAUUAACAGCAUAUAGAUCGUUUUCUUUCCUCUUUAUGUGGAAGAAAUAAAAGUAUAAUCCAGUUUUUUGCUGGUUCUCAUUCACGUAGGCUUGUACUUUCAGUUCUAUACAGAAAAUAUUGCAAAACUCAGCAUACUCUUUUGAUUCACUAAAUAAAUGUAGCAUUAUGUUUCUGGUUUUACUGAAGUUUUGUGUGGUUGGAUUAUUCGUUUAGCAAGUGUUCACUUCUUCCUUCCCUUACCCCAUUGGGCAUUGGGUGGAGUUUACUACCACACCCCACUGACUUGGCUGGCCAGAUAACUUGCCUUACCCUAAUGCAGUAUGGGACAUGAGGGUGUGCCAGUUCUGAGUAAAGGCCACUUGUCCUCUUGAACUCUUGCUAUUUGCCGUGAAAAGAGCACACUGAGGUAGCAUGCCUUCUUCAACCUGCAUCCCAGAAUGAGACACACCUAUUGCAUAUGUGAACUCAAGCCUAGCUGACCCUAGGAACUCAACCAGGCUCAACACAGCUGCAGUCAACAUCUGUAGACCCAGGAGCAAGAAAUAAAUAUUUGCUUUUAUAAACCACUGAGAUUUUGAAUUGUUUAUUGAAUAAUAAUAUUUUCUGAAUAAUACAGAAAGUGGGGAAAGGGAUACAUCAUAUAGCACGUGGCAUUUCAUUCACACAGUUUCCAGAGAUGUAGUUCUUUUCCCCACUCUCAGCUUCCAGAUCCCUCCUCUCCUCUGAUUGCCCCACAGCAGCUCAGUCUUGCACAUUCUCACUAGUCCCCUUUAUUAUCCAGAGUUCUUUUCCUCUUGCUGGUGAAACUUGGUGUUACUUCCACAGUGUGCACCUCACUUACGUUGUGUCUCUACAUGAUUAUGCUCCUCACCCAUAUGACCAAAUAAUAUAUGCGUAAUGCAUUAAAAAAACUUCGAACAAACAUAUUGAAAAAACAUCUGUAAUUCUACCACUGAAGGAUAAAUACUUUUAAAAAUUAGCUGAACUUCCUUCUGGUAAAAGGUGACUUAUUACUUUUUAGAGAAGUAACAUAUAUAGCAGGAUACAAAGUGGAAAGUUAAAAGCUUUCCUCUUCUGUGGAACAAAUUAGAGAGCCCAGAAAUAGAUCCACACAAACAUAUCUUUAACAAAGGAAUAAAAGCUGUAAUUGCUGUAAUGUGAUCAUCUUCAAUAUCUUCAGAGAAUUACUGGUCUUAGAACACUUAUGCAUAUCUGUAGCCUAGGAUAUGUUUUAUCAAUUUUAUAAUUAUAAUGACUUUCUACAUGCUCAGGUUUUUUUCAGGUUUACAUACAUAAGAAAAAGUGGUUUCUUUUCCAAUUUGGUAGUGAUGUGCCAUUUCAUCUGGAUACCAAGUGUCACUAGGAAAGAACACACUGAAUUUAAGAAUGUUUACCAUUUUUUUGAAGCUGAUAAUAAACAAGUGUGGUUUAAAAUAAUGAGAAAUUCAGUCCUAACAAACUAUUUAGCAGUAGUAAUCAGGUCAAAGUAUGGUGUCUUUCAGUUGCGACAAUAGACAGAAAAUAUACAAGCCAGAUAAGUUAUGGAUUGUAGAAUGAUUCAGGAAGUUAACUUGGUAAUUUGAUAAGGUGGUCAUAAAUAAUUAAAGAGUUUAGGAAAUGAAGAGUAAUUUUAGAACAGGAACAAGGUGCUCUUUGACUGACAUUCUCAUAGAAUUCAGGCUUUGCUGCCUCGUUCCCAUGUCAACCAUGUAAUAAGCAUAAAAUUCAAGAAGUUUAGUACUUUCAGCUUAUUAUGACUUUUCGAAAUAAUUCUUAAUUCUCAAAUAAUAUAAAGUAGCAAUCAGAGACAUAGGGCUAUUUUUUUUUUCAGCUUAUGGAAGAUUGAAUGCAAAAGUCAAGUGUUUGUAGCAUUUCCAUAGCCAUACCGCAACCGUAAUUUUUAAACUCUCAUCUUAAGCCUCAGUUACAUCUUUCAGAAAAUCAUUAGAGAGAAAAGCAGUACAUUCAGUGGUUGAUUUUUACUGUAUAGUAAAUUACUCCUAAAUAUGACAUUGCAAAGUACAGACUUUUUGCACUUAUCCUAAUGUUAAAGCCACCUGUUUCCUUUAUAGCAUCUUUUAAAAAUUAUCACUUUUUAGUAGAGAAUUUGAUGUUUUAAUUUUUAUUUUUUCCUGCCAAAUAUUUUUAUGUUUUCCUAUACAAAGAAAAUGGAAUUACACGUGCCUGUGUUCUGUGUGUGUGCCUGUAUGUGUAUAGGUUAUAUAUAUAUAUAUAUAGAUAGAUAGAUAUUUUGUUGCACAUGCCAGUUCCAAAUCUCUUUAGAACUCAUUUAAUUGUGUCUUUUAUUUCCAGCUACGAAUAGAACAGGAAAAACUAGUACCUUAAAAUAAUAUUCUUUUAUAUAUUUCUUUUUGGUUCUAUAUUAUUAUUAAAUUUGGAUUUCUCAAAUUCAGAGGAAGACUUGUAAUAAUGUUAAAGUCACCUGCAUCUGAGAAUUUUUCUGAAUGGUAUUCAACUCACCAAAACAUUCUAAAAAUAUUUAAUUAAGGACACUUAGCAAUUAUUUGUUAAAUAAAUAUUUUAAUAAGAAAUUUUCUUGAAAAUAGGGUUGCCUUUUAAAAUUAAUUCUUCUAGAAUAUUACCAGCAAGCCAAGGAACUUCACUAUAAAAGUGAUACUUCAGUCAUACUUUUCAACAGGAUUCAUUGGAAAACCUCUUCUGUUCCUAUUUUUAAAUUCUUAAGUAGUAAAUUUCUAAAUGUGAAAUAGUGUCAUUUAACUUUCAAACAUAGUAUUUCAAAAAAUAUGUAUAUUUUGAGUUCUCUUACCACUGCUUGCAAUUAAACAGUGACAUUUGAGGAAGAACUGUGAUGCCGGCACACACAUAUAUGCACAUUCAAUCCCAAAACCUAAAAUAAAGCUGAUUUUUUACGAUUGUUUAAGUAAUUAAACAAGGAGGCCAUUAGACUGAGUUAGCUGUAAUGCCUUGGCAGUCUCCAUAAGCAAACCAAAACCUAAGCCAGGGUCAGUGCCCUUGAAUCUAAGAAAAUGAAGCUUAAAAACAACCAAUCACAAACAGCCAACUAGGCUUUCUCAAAUGAGGCAGCUGCUUACACUAUAACCCGUCAAAUAAUUUUCUUGCUUUGCUUCCAUGUCUUCUCUGUAGAAGCCUCUUCCCUAACCCUCCCGGCGAAACUCUUCUAACGACUUUUGGUUUGGUGCUGCCCUAUUCAAAAAGUUUUAAUGUGCCUCAGUUUAUCUUUUAACCUGACUGAAUUAUCUAGGAGAAAAAAGGAAUUAUGGAGAAGUUUAAAUUUAAUUCUUUUUAAAUUAUAUUGUAAAAAUUCAAGCCAGCCCAUUUAAACCAUAGAAUAUUAGAAGCCUGGAAGGGUUUCUCCGUCACACAGCUGGUUAUGGCAGAAUUGAGAUUGUGAAUCAGCUGUUUGACGUUUAAUCCUGUGCUCUUUCAGAUUCACAUGCUAUUUCUUCUCCUGCAUGUAUAUAACCCCUGGGAGUUUACUGAGUCAUUUUGAUGCUUAGUUUGAUGCAUAACACAUCUUAGUCCUUCCUGGGUUUAUACUGAAAAAGAAUAAGGUUAUCCUGGCAAUCUCUAGAGACUUAAGGUGUGAUUUUGGGAAGAGGGGUUCCAGACAUAUUCCUAAAAUAAGAAUAUUGAGUGUGGUGAAAUAUGGAUAAUUCUAAUUAAAAAUGGAAUUGAAAACAGACUUAGUAACAAGGGCUCCUCCUACUCCAGGUUUUUCUGAGGGAAUACCAGGAGAGAAAAGACAUCCAGUUGAUAUUUUCUGUUAUUCUUUCCUAUGCUUGCCUGUGGUUAACCGUAACUCUACAAAAUUGAGUGAGAAGUAAACUUUAGAAAAGAAUCCUUGGAUUUAGCGCCUCUAAGGCAGGGCUAUAAGUUCUCCUUAAUUAGUUAGGUGACUGUGUAAAUAGCCAGCAUGUCUGAGAUAGCACUAGGCUUUUGGAAUGCAGAGAUAAGGCAUGGUAGUUUGAGUCACUACCAGAGACCACUUGCAACAAUAUGGAUCAACCUGGAGGACAUUAUGCUAAGUGAAAUAAACCAGUCACAGAAGCACUUAGUGUUCUCAUGGCAACUGAUAAUCAUAUACCCCUAUCAAAGACCUGACACCCUCAUGUCCCACUCCAGAAAAAAAAGAUUAUUUUUGUAUAUGUGGUAGAGAUUAUUCAACUUAAAGGACUAAAUUUCUAAUGGAGGGUUUCAGGCCAUUGGGGGAAGUAGUUUGGUGGAGGGUGGCUUUCCCCACUAUGUGAUGAACAGUGUACUCUACAAGUCGCACACAUGAUAUCUACCAUCUCUGGAUGGGUUUGAAGGCAGGAGGAUGGGUUUAAUGGUCAGCUGAGAGAAGCACUUUUUCUGCUUGGCUUCCUUACCUUGCAUCGUUGAGAAGGUGUGAGGAUAUUGUAGUACAGCUUCUAUCUCCAGUGCUUCCUCUGCAUUUCUUCUUCCUAAACUCUCAGAGAAAACAUGACUUUCUUCUUGAAUAGCACCUAGACAGAUGUUUGUGUAUUUCAGCCCAAUCUUCUGUGUACUUGUCAUCUCCUUUGUCCUUAUUGUUGAUCAUUAUUGCAUUCACUAGUUUAUUCAUUAGCCCUUUGUUGCUGUAGUUCACAUAUAUUCAAAUGCUGGCACACAUCUUUUUUCAAACAAAGCAAAACAAAAUACUCAUGCAAUCAAAAUCAGUUUUGAAAUGUUAGGUCCCUUCUCAAUAAAUUUUUGUAGCAUUCCUUUCUUUUAUUUUUGCUAUGAGCAUUCCUUAUUCAUUCAUCUAAUAUUUUAUUACUAGCUCAUUAUCACCUCAUACUCUCUAAGUUUAGAAGGAAAAGGAGGGCAGCAAUUUGUGAACAUUCUUCAUUUUCCAUUUUGUGACAGUACUACUUAGGAAUGUGGAAAUUAUUACACAUUACUAGCCUAUCCCAGAACGCUUAUGACAAAAAAUGUUUCAGAGGCCUUCUAUAGGGAGGUCUUUUAAUACAAGAAGUAUUACUUUUUACUCCAAAGCUCUCCACUGCUCUGGGAAUGGAAGAAAAUAGAUAAUGAAAUGUCUAACAUCCUUAAGACCUGAUUCUGGGGGGGUGGUUUUGAUACUUUAAUUUUGUUUUUUUAAAGUCUAUGGCACUAGAUAUAAUACUGAAGUUUUUUUUUAAAGAUUUUAUUUUUUUCCUUUUUCUCCCCAAAGCCACCUGGCACAUAGUUGUACAUUCUUCGUUGUGGGUCCUUCUAGUUGUGGCACGUGGGACGCUGCCUCAGCGUGGUUUGAUGAGCAGUGCCAUGUCCGCGCCCAGGAUUCGAACCAACGAAACACUGGGCCGCCUGCAGCGGAGCGCGCGAUCUUAACCACUUGGCCACGGGGCCAGCCCCAAUACUGAAGUUUUAAUUAAAGUUUUCUGAUGGGAGUAAUGGAAAAUAUGAUGAGGUCUCUUUUACUUGAAAAACAAUGGCGCACACAUUCCAUGAAGGGAUGAGUGGGCACAUGAACAGGUAAUUAUUGUAUAAUAAACUUUGUAAGGUAUAAAACACAAUGAAGUCUAUUUUUUCUCAAAUAUUUGCUGAAUUAAUAUCGACAGAAGUAUGGGUAGAUGAUAAAUAGAUUAAAUUGGCCCUAAGAGAUAAUAUAUUGAACAGUGGUCAGAAUAAAGCUAAAAAUGGAGAGAUUAAGAUAGGUCAAAAAUGUCAGUUUGAGGAUUAUAGAACUGAUCUGAUUUGCUGGUCCUCGUGUAAAAUGGCAAUGCUAGGAUUCCACCAGCAAGUUGUUUCAAGAUAAAAUGGGUGAUUAGACUUGGAUGUACCUAUGAUCUCAUUCUAUUCAUUUUAUGAUCACUUGUGCAGCCUGUGGGAGCAGUAGAGGUUAACUGGUCUACGGAGUGAUGUCAGAAACUGUGACUUGUUAUCACAAUGUUCUUAUACAUGAGCUAAUCAAGAAGAAGUAUUCUUUUUUUCUACGAAGUUUUUGACAUAUUUCUUCUCUUCUUGACUUGUUAACACAUACUUGAUGUAUUUCAUUUUCUUUAGAGAUUCCCUAGGUUAUUCAUUUAACACAUUAUGUUCCGUGCAAUAAUGAUAUAAUGUACUAUUUGUUGACAUUACAGAAUAGAACAUAAUUCUUAGAACUGGAAUUGAAUUUAUAACAUUGUGUAGUCUAAUGCCAUGACUCUUCAAAUGAGGAAACAAAGGCCCAGAAAGAUUAAAUGGGUGCUACUGUCAUAUCUCUUCCUCCUGAAUGCGUUACAAUCCAGAUAGUCUGUCUCUCAUACAUUACAUUAAUAUUUGUAUUUUAAUUUUAGUCUUAUAUGUGUGAAUUCAAUUGGGUGCCUUAAAAAGGUGAAAAUAGAAGUCUAAGGAUACCAUCAUAUGAGGGAAUCUUGAGAAGGAAGGAUGAUCUAGGCAGAAGGACCAUAACAUGCAAAAGCAGAGGACCUAGAAGCCACAGGUGUGUUUAAUAUUUCUGAGCAAAGUAGGAUACAGGACGGGUAGGAGGCAGCAGUGAGAAAUGAGGCAGGACUAGGGCACAGAGUGCCACAGCUGCUGUGCAGAGGAGUUAAAACUGUGUGGCUUAAAAUAGCAUCACAAAUAGAUGUUAAAGCAAACAGAGGGGGUACAACAACAUGAUUUGAGUAUUUGAUAGAUCCCUCUGUCCAUAUUGAAGAGCAUGGUAUGGAAAAGAGAGAGAAAAUGGAGCCAGGGAUGUCAGUAAGACUACUGUGAGAGCCUGUGAAAGCAGCUUGGGAAAUCAAACUAAGGUGGAGAGAAAGGGAACUUAUUUCAGGGCAAAGUUUUGAAAUCUACACUAUUCCAUGGAAAUAUAGUUCUUCUUUCACAAUGCACAUUUAAGGGUCAAUUUUCUAUUUUCUCAAAAUAUCAUUUACUUUUCUAUAAGAUAACUGCCUCUUCCACUUUAUUAUAUUGUAAAAUGACUUGUUUUUCUAUUUAUUUUUCUGCUGUAGACUAGUAGCUCCUAAUCCUCAGCAGUCCUGCUGGCUGGCUAUAGCUAUCACUGCCCUCUGGAGAUCUGGGUGUGGUAAUAGGAUUCCUUUUCCCACCUUUCAUAGGAUUUCUGCAUCACACCUUCCUAAGAUUUUGUUGGUCGGUCUGCCUUGACUAUAUGUUUGGAAUCUUUCAGAUUUUAAAGACCUUUAUCAUUAUCAAUAUUCUUUUUCCUAAAUAUGUCUGAAAUUCCUGAGGUUGGAAGAUGGGAAAAUCCUCUCCUUGCAAAACAUUAGAGAGACAGUGUACCUUGGAAUAGGCCGUGGUGUCUGGCAAUUAAAACAAUCAACUGAAGUUUACAUUUGCAGAUACUUCCCUCAUUAUUAGGUUGAGUAUAUCAGUGUGUUUCCUCCAUGCUUCUUUAUGGAAAUAAUAGACCCCAUUAAUUAGAGAUUAAUUAGUUCAGGGAAAGAAUAUGAUUCCAUAACCAGAAUGUUAAACUAAUACCCUUUCUGUAGGAUUUUUUUUAUAUACCUAAAGAGACAUUUCUAGUCUUUUCAUCCGUGAAGAAACUUAAUAAAUACUUUUGAACAUGGAACCAAAUUAAGCAUCAUCUUUCCCAUAAGAACAAAUUGUCUACAAAACUAGAAAGAAAAAAGCAGUAGGAUUAUUUUGAUGAAAUUUUCUUUUGGCCACAGUUUCCUUUUCUUAAUUACCUGCUGUUAUGAACUACAGGCAAGAAUACAUAAAAGUGUGGGUAAGUAUUUUAAAGUAGGCAGCUGGCUGAAACAAUCUUGGUUAAUAUUUUCCUGUCAAGUAGAAUAUGGCUCCUUCCGUUCUCACCUCAGAAGAUUCAGGGCAACUAAUCCCUGUUUUGGCAUGUUAAAUAUUGCCCAGUGAAAUCAUAAGUAUUUCUUCCCAAGGUAAAGACUUAUGCAUUUAAACAACCCAAGACCUGAGUCAUUCUUCAGUGUUGCACGUAGGAAAGAGUUUUUGCAGGUGUCAAUAUGUAAUAUUCUAUCAUUAGAAAGAUGAGGUUCUUAUUUCAAGCUAAUGGAAUGGUAUUAUUAUUUAUGUUCUCACUCCUCUCCUUUUUAAUGGAAGGCUUGGCCAAGAUAAGUUCUACUUCUUGGUUCAAAAGAAGGACAAAUAGAAAUGGCUUUUACUUUGAAAUGGAAUUCUCUCAACGUCCGUAAUGAAGCUUCUCCAGGAGAGAACACUGCUAGUGGUUGAAAAACCCGUUCUGUUGAGGUCACUGUGCUCUCACCAUUUUCUUCUUAAUUGGUCAACUAUGUGUAUUUUUAAAAUUUUUUAGAGCAGUUUAAGGUUCACAGCAAAAUUGAGAGGAAGGUACAGAGGUUUCCCAUAUACCCCCUGCUCUCACACAGAAAUAGCCUCCCUGAUUAUCAGCAUCUCUCACCAGAGUGUUACAUUGGUUACAAUUUAUGAAGCUACUUUGACAAAUAUUAUCACUCCUAGUUUAUAUUAAGGUUCACUUUUUGUGUUGCACAUUAUGUGGAUUUGGAGAAAUGCAUAAUAACAUUGUUGUUCCAUCACUGUAGUGUCAUACAGAGUAUUUUCACAGCCUUAAAAAUCCUUUACACGCCGCUUAUUCUUUCUCCUUUCCACCACAACUCCUGGCGACCACUGAUCUUUUACUGUCUCUGCAGUUUUGCCUUUUCCAGAAUCUUGUGUAUUUGUAAUCAUACAACAUGUAGGCUUCCACACUGGAUUCUUUCAUUUAGUAAUAUCCAUUUAAGGUUCCUCCAUGGCUUUUCAUGGCUUAGUAGCUCAUUUCUUUUUAGCACUGAAUAAUAUUCCAUUGUCUGGAUGUACCACAAUUUAUUUAUCCAUUCACCUACUGAAGGGCAUCUUGGUCACUUCCAAGUUUGGUAGUUAUGAAUAAAGCUACCGUAAAUAUCUGUGUGCAGGUUUUCUUGUGGACCUUUGGGUAAAUACCAAGGAACGCGGUUGCUGGAUUGUAUCGUUAGUGUGCGUUUAGUUUUGUAAAGAAUUGCCAAAGUGUCUUCCAAAGUGACUGUACCAUUUUGCGUUUCCAACAGCAAAGAGUGACAGUUUCUAUUGUUCCAAUCCUCGCCAGCAUUUGGUGUUUUCAGCAUUCUGGAUUUUGGCCAUUUAAGUAGGUAUGUAGUGGUAUCUCAUUGCUGGUUUAAUUUACGUUUCCCUGUUGGCAUGUGAUGCAGAGAUCUUUUCAUAUGCUUGUUUCUGUAUAUCUUUUUUGAUAAGAUGUCUUUUAGGCCUUUGGCCCAUCUUUUAGGCCAGGCCAAUUGGACUGGUUGCUUUCUUAUUGACUUUUCAGAGUUCUUUGUAUAUUUUGAAUAACAGUCCUUUAUCAGUUGUGUCUUGCAAAUAUUUUCUCCUGGUCUGUGGCUUGUCUUCUCAUUCUCUUGACAUUGUCUUUUGCAGAACUGAAUUUUUAAAUUUUAAUGAAGUCCAGCAUAUCCAUUAUUUCUUUUAUGGAUCAUGGCUUUAGUGUGUUUACUUAUAUUUAUACACAUACACACACACAUAAGAUAUGCAUAGCAUAAAUAAUUGAAUACAUUGUUGGUAUUAUUAUUUUGAACAAACUGUUAUAUGUUAGAUCAAUUAAGAAUAAGAAAAAUAAACGUUUUUAUUUUACCUUCACUCUUUCUUCUUUUCAUGCUUUUCUUUUCUCUGUGUAGAUCUGAGUUUCUGACCUAUAUCGUUUUUCUUCUCUCUAAAUACCAACUUUAACAUUUCUUGCAAGACAGGUAGACUGGCAACAAAUUCCCUCAAUUUCUGUUUGUCUGAGAAAGGCUUUAUUUCUCCUUCACUUUUGAAGGAUAAUUUCACAGAGUACAGUAUUCUAGGUUGGUAAUUUUUUUCUGUCAACACUUUAAAUAUUUCACUCUGCUCUCUUCUUGCUUGCUUGUUUUCUGAGGAGAAGAUGAACAUUUUUUAAGUAGGAAAGAGGUGUCUGAAUAAUCAUUUCUGAGCCCCUAGGAUGCCUACUGUGGUAGAGGUUAUGGGGAAUUAAAAAGGAAAAGUAUAACUAAACAUGGCUUCUUUUUUCAAGACGCUUAUAUUCUAGAAAGGAACAUAUGACUUGUACUUAGAAGGCUCAAAAUACCUGCAGUAAGAUCAGAGUUUGCAAAGGGAUCACAGAAGGGAGGGACUGUUUCUGCCUGGGAAUUGGGAACGCUUUAUGAAUUCUUUUAACUGUAACAAAACCGUGCUAACAAUAAUAAUUUUAAGAGCUAUCAUUCUGUCCAUUAUGAGCAUCUCCUAGGUCCCUUACACUCUCCUCAGUGUUUUACAUAUAUUAUUUCAUUUAAUCUUCAAAAUAAUCUAUUGAGGAAGAUAUUAUUAUUCCUUUUUUACAGGCAAGCAGAUAGGGCUUAGGAAGUAAUAUAAGAAAGGGGGUGUUCAAAGCAUAGGCAUAGAAGACUUUAGAGAGGUUGAGUAGUUGACUUUGACUGGAGCAUAGGGUGGGAAGUAAUACUUAAGAGAGUAGAUUGGGAGCAGAUGGUGGAAUAUCUUGAAUGACUCACAUUUCCAGCCUUUCUCUUGAUCUGUAACAUGCACUUUCUGCAUCAUUUCAAAUGAAUUAUUUUAUCCUCCCUGCAUACUAAGGAGUUUUUACUUUAUUUACUAUAUAAUGGGGAACUACUAAAGGUUUUGGAGCAGAGGAGUGACAAAAUAUGUUAUGCUUUAGAAGGAGUAAAUUUGAAAUGAGUGUUUAGAGAAAGUUGUAUUCCUACUUUAGAAUAGACCUCCAAGUUUGAGUGGCAACAGAUAUUUUCCUUACAUGUAAGGUGAGUUAGCAUCUUGAAUGAUGUUAGCCUUAAAAAUGAAUUAAAUUCUCUCAUUAAUAUUUUUAUUCAUUCAUUCAUUCAUUCAUGCAGCACUUACUGUAACAAAUUCUCUGCAGAGCUGUUUAAAUGUUUAAGCAGGUUCAGUCUCAGGGCCUCCAAGAGGUAUGAUAUUAAGUAUAUGUGUUUAUUCUAGAUGAUGUUAUCUGACCUUUGCAGUAACAGAAACAUUUGGACCACAAGUGGGAACGGUGUGCCUUAGACAUGUUGAGGAAACUAAAUAUUUAUAGUAGAGCUGAAUAUUUGUAAAGGCUCCACCUCCAACAAGGUAAAAAUGGAGAGAAACGUCAGAGCCUAUGGGAGGAAAGAGUGUGGCGCUGGGAGUUUAUUGAGCUUAGUGUACAACAUAGGGCUUUUAUUGUUCUAACUAGGUUUAAGCAAUGUAUGUAAUUAUGAAUAACAUUAAAAAUGUUAACUAAAAUAAAUACAUUAAAAAUAUACUAUUUUGAUUUUAGAGACAGUGAAACUGAUUAAAAAUAUGUCUAUAGGAAUUAAAUGGAAACAAUAAUUGUGCAUAAUGGAUAGUUACAUUAUUUUCACAGGGACUGUCAUAUUGUACAUACUAUAAAUUGUUAUGAAAAUAAUUCUAAGUUAACAUAAUAGGUAUCAGAUAAAUUACUUAAACAAUAAGCCUUUGUGAAAUCAUGCUAAUAUUUUUAUAUAGAGAAGAUAAACACAAUUA